rnacentral:tRNA from 1 species
AGUGGCUAAUACAGAGUGGCUGAAGGAGCACGCCUGGAAAGUGUGUAUACGGCAACGUAUCGGGGGUUCGAAUCCCCCCCUCACCGCCA